GAUGAACGCUGGCGGCGUGCCUAACACAUGCAAGUCGAACGGACAGGCGCUGCUUUUGCGGGGUGCACGAGUGGCGAAGGGGUGAGUAACACGUGAGUAAACUGCACUUGACUUUGGGAUAACUUUAGGAAAAAGGGGCUAAUACCGGAUAGGAGAUCUUGCUGCACGGUGGGGGUUGGAAAGUUUCGGCGGUUGUGGAUGGACUCGCGGCUUAUCAGCUAGUUGGUGGGGUAGUUGCUUCCCAAGGUUUUGACGGCUAGGCCACCUGGGAGCGUGACCGGCCACAUGGCGACUGCGAUACGCCCCAGACGCCUACCGGCGGCAGCGGUCGGAAACAUGGCGCAGUAGGCCCGAGCCUGAUACGGCGACCCCGCGAGCGGAAUGACGGCCUUCUGGUGAUGAACCGCUGUCGCCUGAAACAUGGCGUGAGUGACGGUAAUGAAUCAGAAAGCCCCGGCUAACUACGUG
rnacentral:rRNA from 1 species